rnacentral:rRNA from 1 species
AUUGAACGCUGGCGGCAGGCCUAACACAUGCAAGUCGAACGAGUGGCGGACGGGUGAGUAAUGUCUGGGAAACUGCCUGAUGGAGGGGGAUAACUACUGGAAACGGUAGCUAAUACCGCAUACCAUCGGAUGUGCCCAGAUGGGAGUAGCUAGUAGGUGGGGUAACGGCUAACCUAGGCGACGAUCCCUAGCUGGUCUGAGAGGAUGACGAGCCACACUGGAACUGAGAAACGGUACAGACUCCGACGGGAGGCAGCAGUGGGGAAUAUUGCACAAGGGGCGCAAGGCGGAUGCAGCCAUGCCGCGUGUAUGAAGAAGGCCUUCGGGGUGUAAAGUACUUUCAGCGGGGAGGCGUUACCCGCAGAAGAAGCACCGGCUAACUACGUGCCAGCAGCCGCGGUAAUUC